rnacentral:rRNA from 1 species
GAGUAGGGCGUGCUAUACAUGCAGUCGAACGAGCUCUCCCAAAUUGAUUUUAUGCUUGCAUAAAUGAUUUUUGGAUUCGGAGCGAGUGGCGAACUGGUGAGUAACACGUGGGUAACCUGCCCCGAAGCGGGGGAUAACAUUUGGAAACAAGUGCUAAUACCGCAUAAUUAGUUGGAACCGCAUGGUUCCAACUUGAAAGAUGGCUCUGCUAUCACUUUGGGAUGGACCCGCGCCGUAUUAGUUAGUUGGUGAGAUAAAAGCCCACCAAGACGAUGAUACGUAGCCGACCUGAGAGGGUAAUCGGCCACAUUGGGACUGAGACACGGCCCAGACUCCUACGGGAGGCAGCAGUAGGGAAUCUUCCACAAUGGACGAAAGUCUGAUGGAGCAACGCCGCGUGAGUGAUGAAGGUUUUCGGAUCGUAAAACUCUGUUGUUAAAGAAGAACAAGUGUUAGAGUAACUGUUAACACUUUGACGGUAUUUAACCAGAAAGCCACGGCUAACUACGUGCCAACAACACGCGGGUAAUUAGGG